GACGAACGCUGGCGGCGUGCUUAACACAUGCAAGUCGAACGGAAAGGCCCUGCUUGCAGGGUACUCGAGUGGCGAACGGGUGAGUAACACGUGGGUGAUCUGCCCUGCACUUCGGGAUAAGCCUGGGAAACUGGGCCUAAUACCGGAUAGGAGCCAUUUUUAGUGUGAUGGUUGGAAAGUUUUUUCGGUGUAGGAUGAGCUCGCGGCCUAUCAGCUUGUUGGUGGGGUAAUGGCCUACCAAGGCGGCGACGGGUAGCCGGCCUGAGAGGGUGGACGGCCACAUUGGGACUGAGAUACGGCCCAGACUCCUACGGGAGGCAGCGGUGGGGAAUAUUGCACAAUGGGCGCAAGCCUGAUGCAGCGACGCCGCGUGGGGGAUGACGGCCUUCGGGUUGUAAACUCCUUUCGCUAGGGACGAAGCUUUUUGUGACGGUACCUAGAUAAGAAGCACCGGCUAACUACGUG
rnacentral:rRNA from 1 species